rnacentral:rRNA from 1 species
UACGUAGGUGGCAAGCGUUGUCCGGAUUUACUGGGCGUAAAGAGCGCGCAGGCGGCUGGUCAAGUCCGAUGUGAAAUCUCCCGGCUCAACUGGGAAACUGCAUCGGAAACUGAUCGGCUUGAAGGUGGGAGAGGGUAGUGGAAUUCCCGGUGUAGUGGUGAAAUGCGUAGAUAUCGGGAGGAACAUCAGUGGCGAAGGCGGCUACCUGGCCCAAUACUGACACUCAGGUGCGACAGCGUGGGGAGCAAACAGG